GUUGUAUAGUCAAGUAAUGAAGUGCACAUGGUGGAUGCCUUGGCAGUCAGAGGCGAUGAAAGACGUGACAGCCUGCGAAAAGCGUCGGGGAGGCGGCAAUAUCCUGUGAUCCGGCGAUAUCUGAAUGGGGAAACCCACCUACCAUAAGGUAGGUACCCCGCUAUAUUUUAUAGCGGGGGGCAAACCGGGAGAAGUGAAACAUCUCAGUAACCCGAGGAA
rnacentral:rRNA from 1 species